rnacentral:lncRNA from 1 species
AGAGGUGACACCUUUCAAGUUCGAUAUUGCAGAUCAAAUGACACAAGAACAAGACUUUGAUAGCAUUUAAAUAGUGUUGCUCAAUUCAAGGAUGGUACAAAAUCGCCUUUUCUAUCACUUUUUAUUGGUCCAAGCGUUAUUUUAUACCAGAGCAAGCUACUCAAUUAGCUCUUACACAAAUUUUUAGCAUGCAAGAAAAAAAAAGGAGUGAACAUGGAGAAAAGGAAGAAAAAACAUGGAGUACUAACUAAUUCCUUUUUGUAAGUAUUCAUAGGCUAGCAUUUAGAAAAAAUCAAGACAUCUGCCUCCAAAUUGUUUUUCAUAGCAUUCCAUUUUACCCAUUCUUUGCACACUUUGCUCCAGUUUUCAGAUGCUUAUAUCGCAUUUUCCUCCAUUUUCUCCAAGUCUUUGAGGUGCUUGUUGUAAGUGGGAUAGUUCCUUCUUACAUCUGAACAGCAGCACAUAUUCGUUAACUGCUAUAGCAAUACCCACAAGACCAAUUGUCUUAUUUAGAAUAGACAUGUUUGAGUUGAAACCCUGUUCAAAGUAAACAUUAAUAUCAGGGGAAAAGAAAGCCAUUAGCUGUCAAGAAUAGACUCUUGUUGAGAAUAUUGUAAACAAAGAUUGAACUCUUGCCAAAUGAAAAAACAGAGUCGGUGUAAAUGACUUUAAAUACGGUGGUUCAAUGAUCUGUAAGCACUGAAAUAACAAUACUAAUCCUCAAAAGAUGCAAUGAAGGACGUUAAUCGCUCCAAAAUCCCAGGAAGUUAUCACACUAAUUAAUGUCCCAAGAAAGCAAAAGAAAAACUCUGGAAGAACUAUAAUUAAAUUCAGGUGCACAAAAACUGGACAAAAUGAAAAUGAACCAGACCGUUUCAGGUUCAAUCACAAAGAUAAUUCAGCGGCUUACUAGUCACAAGGUCAUAGAAUUUAGUUCAAAACAAUUGAAUUAUAUGUCUGACAGAGAGAAAUGAAAGAUUUAUUUUAGUUACAAUUGAAUUAUAUGUCAAGACCUUCAGAAACUUGCUAAACCGAGCAAAUGCAUAAAUAAAUCAAACAAAUUAAACAGACUUUCAUCAUUGUCAUGCUAACAUACAUAUUAUAAUGGUUAACUGAAACAGAAACUAAUGACAAAUAAUUUAGGAUUUUUUUUUCCUUUUAGAAAAUAAACUAGGGUUUCUAAGAAUAAAGAAGGAAUCUAACCUCUGGGAUCGACUUUUGCUCGUUCGUGGGUUUUCUAGAAUGACAAACAUAUCAAAAUUCUGAAAAGUUAAUGCUUUAUAGGGAACCUGGAAAAAUGGAAGGCCAUGAUGGAGCGAGCUGGCGCUCAAACCGACGCCCAACAUUAAUCCAGCUUUCGCAUCUGUCAUGAAUGAUUUUCUCAGAUGAGUGAGUGGGGCGUUCUUUGGGGCUGUACAAGAGUAUUCAGAGAGGUUUGUGUAUUUGUUUGGUGACGUGGAGGAGAGAGUGGAGAAACGGGGACCAAUGGGUGAUACGUGGGGGACUGUGGUGAGCCUUGCUCUCACCGGAAAAG